rnacentral:rRNA from 1 species
UACGCUAAUACCGCAUACGUCCUGAGGGAGAAAGCGGGGGACCGUAAGGCCUCGCGCGAUUGGAGCGGCCGAUGUCGGAUUAGCUAGUUGGUAGGGUAAAGGCCUACCAAGGCGACGAUCCGUAGCGGGUCUGAGAGGACGAUCCGCCACACUGGGACUGAGACACGGCCCAGACUCCUACGGGAGGCAGCAGUGGGGAAUUUUGGACAAUGGGCGAAAGCCUGAUCCAGCCAUGCCGCGUGAGUGAAGAAGGCCUUCGGGUUGUAAAGCUCUUUCAGCCGGAAAGAAAUCGCGCAGGAUAAUACUCUGUGUGGAUGACGGUACCGGAAGAAGAAGCACCGGCUAACUACGUGCCAGCAG